rnacentral:rRNA from 1 species
GCUUGUCUCAAAGAUUAAGCCAUGCAUGUCUAAGUAUAAAUAGUAUACAGUGAAACUGCGAAUGGCUCAUUAAAACAGUUAUAGUUUAUUUGAUAAUUGAAAAUUACAUGGAUAACCGUGGUAAUUCUAGAGCUAAUACAUGCUAUCAAGCCCGACUUCUGGAAGGGGUGUAUUUAUUAGAUAAAAAUCAACUUUGUUGGUGAAUCAUAAUAACUUCUCGGACCGCAUGGCCUCGUGCUGGCGGUGCUUCAUUCAAAUAUCUGCCCUAUCAACUGUCGAUGGUAGGAUAGAGGCCUACCAUGGUUGCAACGGGUAACGGGGAAUAAGGGUUCGAUUCCGGAGAGGGAGCCUGAGAAACGGCUACCACAUCCAAGGAAGGCAGCAGG